UUUUUAACAUUAAAAAAUUAGGAAGGUGUACAAAUAGCAGUACUAAUAAUAUGUAACAUAUGCAAAAAUGUAUUUGCAGCGGUCAUGCCUUAGUUCUUCAGUUGUAAAUGAGUUCUGCUUUAGAAGGAAGUGGUACAGAUCAGUUUCCAGCAAAGCAGUUUCUGGUCUCAGUUUUAUAGUAGUAUACAUUUAUUUUAACUAGUUUCGUAGUUAGUUCCUUUGGAUUGAAUUUUUCUGUAUGUUGUUAUUUUGAAGGGUUUUUCCAAUGUGUGAUAUACAUGGUCAGUCUCUCACCAAAUCAAGUGUAGCUCUUUAUUCGGUGUUUCAUCUGCUCUAAAACUGGUAGGAAUUAGUAGUUUUCAAACACUUUUAUAAAUGAUUUAAGGAUAUUUUCCUGAUUUUACAGCCCAGUAUUGCUAUAACUUGUUUCUAAGAGAUAUAACAUCAUGGAAAUGGUUUACAAAAAUGUCCAAAAGUCCUGUGCAGUCUGUGAGCCAUUUAAUGAUUAUUGGUGUUAAUCAUCUACAGUACAUGUGUUGUCGCCUCCUUUCUUAAUAUUUAGAUUUUAUUCCACUCAUACUUUGACAACUUUGAACUUGUAUCCUAUUGUUUCUGCCCUUAACAGUGCUGAUGAUUUCAAGAUAAGCUUAGUUAAUUUUACUUAAAAUUAGCAGCCUUUUCGUAGCUGAAACUCAUUUAAAACAUUAAUUAAAUUAUUCGUUCAGAUAGGACUCCAGCUAGACUUUAAACCAGUCUGACAAUGGACUGAAGCAAAGGCCCAGGGUUGGGAAAGUGCAGUAAAUACCCAAGUAUUAUAUAUAGUGUGUAUUUAAAAUUGAGUCAAGGAGGUACUUCUUUAUACAAAGUGUUGUGGGAGUAUAGAACAAGCUAUCCAGUCAUACUGUUGAAGCGGAUACCUUAGUUUCUUUCAAAAAACAGCUGAAUGAGGUUCUUGGGCCGAAGAACCUGCAAUGGCCUCCUUAGAUUUGAAACUCCUUAGGUUAAGUCUGUUUUUAAAGUAUGAAACUGUUCAUGAAAAACGUGAGUAUAAUAAGUCUUUGAGAAGCUUCUUACAGAGCGCAAGGGGAGAUGUUUCAACAGCUUCUGCUUAGUUCACAUCCCACAGAACUCAAGGAUCUCAACUAAUGUCCGAAAGGUGAUGCAGAGUGAAAGAACUGGGAACUUGAAGCAGGAACCAGCCAUCCUGGUAAUGAACCUUUUUGUCUAUAAUCACCAGACCAUAUGUCAUGUAAUUUAUAUGUCACAGACAAUUUGUAUUUUUUGUUAUGUACUCCAUCCAUCCAUUUUCUUUACAAUAACAGCAAAAGACAAAACUUCGCCAUUUCUAGUAAAGUUCUGCUUUUAUGUAGGUUCUUUGAAACAGACUCAAUCUAAAUUGAGAUGUUUCUGUUUGGCCCAAAUAAUAGCUAAAGCUAAUCCAUACUUACUAAUAUUUAUAGGAAACUGAAUUGUUCAAUCAGCUAAUCAUGGCUGUGCCUCGUUAGCAGGGAGAAAUCUUACAACUACAGGCAGAGCCAUGCUUACUGUACAGGGGGUCUGAGAGGACUACAGGAGGAUGUCAGGGUUACAUGGGCAGGAUCGCCAGAAGUGUUCUGAGAAAGAGGUGGCUUUCGGAGGUGCGUUUCGAUGUCUGGAAGAUGUUAUAAAAGGAUUCCUCCAGGGCAGAUGUAAGGAGUUAGUUCAGCACAACACACCGGUGUUCCACAGGAUUACACACCCCAGUACAGAACUCCGCCCUGCAUGGUUUGAUCCGCCAUCAUACUGAUGGUCAGCCUUUCUGAAGCAGGACUGUUUUGCAAACUGCCCCCUGCAGGGGAUGGGAACUAAACUGCUAUCCUGUGGCAUGUACCAGUCUUUACAGGCCAGUCAUUCCUCUCUUUCCAGAAAGGUUUAAC